UAGCUCAGUGACAGAGCUCUUGCCUAGCAUGCAAGAAGCCCUGGGUUCCACCCCAG
rnacentral:tRNA from 1 species